rnacentral:rRNA from 1 species
ACACCGGCAGCUCAAGUGGUAGCCGCUUUUAUUGGGCCUAAAGCGUCCGUAGCCGGUCUGAUAAGUCUCUGGUGAAAUCUCACAGCUUAACUGUGGGAAUUGCUGGAGAUACUAUCAUGACUCGAGGUCGGGAGAGGCUGGAGGUACUCCCAGGGUAGGGGUGUAAUCCUGUAAUCCUGGGAGGACCACCUGUGGCGAAGGCGUCCAGCUGGAACGAACCUGACGGUGAGGGACGAAAGCCAGGGGCGCGAACCGGAUUAGAUACCCGGGUAGUCCUGGCCGUAAACGAUGUGGACUUGGUGUUGGGAUGGCUUCGAGCUGCCCCAGUGCCGAAGGGAAGCUGUUAAGUCCACCGCCUGGGAAGUACGGCCGCAAGGCUGAAACUUAAAGGAAUUGGCGGG